AAUGUUUUAAAAUCUUACCAGCAUGAGAGCUCCACACUCUCUUUCUUUCAAAGUUUGCAUAGCAGCUUAGUUGAUGAAAUAAACCAGUCAUAGCGUUACUUUUAUGUCAAAUCAGGUGAACUGAAUCUGUUGUAGCAACACGUCAAGAGUUAUGAACUCCUCGUAAUUGAGUUGGUUCUGAUGUAAUAAAUUUCUCAUGAUGCUAUUUGAAAGUGUGAAGCUGUUGUACUGUUGUUUCAAACAUUUUGAAAGUAUGAAUUUGCUGUAAUGCCAUUUCAAUACAACCUAUUACUGUAGUUGUAGGUGUUGAGGCGAUUUAUCAAACAAUCAAUGUGAGGGACCUGUUGGAGUGAUCUAUCAAAUAUAAGAUACAUCUUUAUUUUCCAGAUCCUGGCACAUUGGUUCGGUGUUCCACCACGUGCACACCCACACAUACACACACAAACAUGCGCACACAACCAGGCUUACGAUCACAUGCAUAAUAUAAAUGAGGAGCAAUAUUAACAAUAAUCAUCUUCAGCUCAAUGUUAUUCUGAUGCAUGCUCUCUAAGGUCAUAUGGAUACUUUGUGAUUGUGGUACGAUACUACCAGUCUACAGGGUCACCUUUCCAAACAUUUUUGAAUGAAUUGGCUGUGGUGAUUCAUGUCAGACCUUGUGAAGUAUCGGAAAUGAAAUGUUAUACGUUUCCGCAUGUAAUAAAUAAACCGAUUGAACUUUUCAA